GAUGAACGCUAGCGGCAGGCUUAAUACAUGCAAGUCAAGGGGGUAGCAAUACAACCGGCGGACGGGUGCGUAACGCGUAUGCAACAUGCCUUCCAGCGGGGGAUAUACCAGGGAAACUUGGCGCAAUACCCCAUAGAAUUACGGGACCGCAUGGUCUUGUGAUUAAAACUCCGGUGCUGGGAGAUUGGCAUGCGUGACAUUAGCUAGUUGGCGGGGUAACGGCCCACCAAGGCGACGAUGUCUAGCUGGUCUGAGAGGAUGAUCAGCCACACUGGGACUGAGACACGGCCCAGACUCCUACGGGAGGCAGCAGUAGGGAAUAUUGGACAAUGGGGGGAACCCUGAUCCAGCCAUGCCGCGUGAGGGAAGAAGGUCCUCUGGAUUGUAAACCUCUUUUGGCAGGAAACAAACCUGCGCUAUACGCGCAGCUGAGGGUACCUGCAGAAUAAGCACCGGCUAACUCCGUGCCAGCAGCCGCGGUAAAGUAGUCG
rnacentral:rRNA from 1 species